UCCAAUUUGCCUUAUCCCUAUAAACCCAUUUUCCACAGCUAUCCUAUUUUACUUUUUCUUAUCCCAUACCCUAUAAACCCCUUUUUACUCUGGUUCCUAUUUCAAUUUUAGGGGUCUUUUCCAUAGGACAUGAUGGCAUUCGCGUUCUUCUCCUUCCCAGGCUCUCCGUUUCAUGUCACUCAACAUCUCCUUUGUAGACCUGGAAAAGCUACCUGCUAUAUGGAGGGAGCGCUGGCUCUCCAUUUCAUGUCGCUCAACAGGUCUUCCCAGGCUCUCCAUUCCAUGUCGCUCAAAGAUGAUAUAUUUUCCUGCUGCAGCGUUUCUUGGGUUCCGAUGAUGGCGGCGAUGAAGAGCUUCUCUCUCCCAUAUAAUGGUGACAUGGUAAAGAUCUUCUGUCAGAACAUGCAUAGGGUUUUCCAUUGAUUUGAUGAAUGUUUGCAGUUAGCAAUCACAGGGCACAGUAGGAUUCACUACACAGCAAAUGAGAUUUGUAUGGUGUCAAAUGAUUCACAACAAUGCCUUCAUAACAUCACUCCUUGGAAGGAGCAUUGGAAAAUAACCGUUAGGGUGAUCAAGAUGUGGAGUUUAUGUGAUCCCAGAGAGGAGACUGAUGAACCUGCUUUUCUUCAUAUUAUGGUCAUGGAUAAAUCAGUGAGUUGUUAUAUAUGUUUUGAGACAUUUUUUAAUCCGAGAGUUAUUAUAUAUGUUUUCAGACUUUUGUUUAAUUUUUCAAGUUUAC